AGAACGAACGCUGGCGGCAUGCCUAAUACAUGCAAGUCGAACGAACACUUCGGUGUUAGUGGCGCACGGGUGCGUAACGCGUGGGAAUCUGCCCUUGGGUUCGGAAUAACAGUUGGAAACGACUGCUAAUACCGGAUGAUAUCGAAAGAUCAAAGAUUUAUCGCCCAGGGAUGAGCCCGCGUAGGAUUAGCUAGUUGGUGAGGUAAGCUCACAAGGCGACGAUCCUUAGCUGGUCUGAGAGGAUGAUCAGCCACACUGGGACUGAGACACGGCCCAGACUCCGUACGGAGGCAGCAGUAGGGAAUAUUGGACAAGUGGGCGCAAGCCUGAUCCGAGACAAGUCGCCGCGGUAGAGUAG
rnacentral:rRNA from 1 species